rnacentral:rRNA from 1 species
ACGGGGGGAGCAAGCGUUGUUCGGAAUCACUGGGCGUAAAGGGCGUGUAGGCGGUCCAGUAAGUGGGAUGUGAAAUGCCCCGGCUCACCCGGGGACCGGCAUCCCAAACUGCCAGUCUUGAGUAUGGGAGAGGAUGAGGGAAUUCCUGGUGUAGCGGUGAAAUGCGUAGAUAUCAGGAGGAACACCGGUGGCGAGGGCGCUCAUCUGGCCCGAUACUGACGCUGAGGAGCGAAAGCUAGGGGAGCAAACGGGA